AUCGAACGCUGGCGGCAGGCCUAACACAUGCAAGUCGAGCGGCGCUUCGGACGGGUGAGUAAUGCCUAGGAAUUUGCCUGUUGGUGGGGUACCCCGUCCGGAAACGGGCGCUAUUACCGCAUACUUUCAGAUCAGUUUCGGUCGUAGUAGCUAGUUGGUGGGGUAAAGGCCUACCAAGGCGACGAUCCAUAACUGGUCUGAGAGGAUGAUCAGUCACACUGGAACUGAGACACGGUCCAGACUCCUACGGGAGGCAGCAGUGGGGAAUAUUGGGCAAUGGGCGAAAGCCUGAUCCAGCCAUGCCGCGUGAGUGAAGAAGGUCUUCGGAUUGUAAAGCACUUUAGGUAGGGAAGCGGUAUCUAAAGAGUAAGCACCGGCUAACUACGUGCCAGCAGCCGCGGUAAUAC
rnacentral:rRNA from 1 species